rnacentral:rRNA from 1 species
UACGUAGGGACCAAGCGUUGUUCGGAUUUACUGGGCGUAAAGGGCGCGUAGGCGGCAAUUCAAGUCAUCUGUGAAAUCUCCGAGCUUAACUCGGAACGGUCAGAUGAUACUGCUUUGCUAGAGUACAGAAGGGGCAAUCGGAAUUCUUGGUGUAGCGGUGAAAUGCGUAGAUAUCAAGAGGAACACCUGAGGUGAAGACGGGUUGCUGGGCUGAUACUGACGCUGAGGCGCGAAAGCGUGGGGAGCGAACAGG